AUUGAACGCUGGCGGCAGGCCUAACACAUGCAAGUCGAGCGGCAGCGGGAAAGUAGCUUGCUACUUUUGCCGGCGAGCGGCGGACGGGUGAGUAAUGCCUGGGAAAUUGCCCAGUCGAGGGGGAUAACAGUUGGAAACGACUGCUAAUACCGCAUACGCCCUACGGGGGAAAGCAGGGGACCUUCGGGCCUUGCGCGAUUGGAUAUGCCCAGGUGGGAUUAGCUAGUUGGUGAGGUAAUGGCUCACCAAGGCGACGAUCCUUAGCUGGUCUGGGAGGAUGAUCAGCAGAAAUGGAACUGAGACGCGGUCCAGACUCCUACGGGAGGCAGCAGUGGGGAAUAUUGCACAAUGGGGGAAACCCUGAUGCAGCCAUGCCGGGUGUGUGAAGAAGGCCUUCGGGUUGUAAAGCACUUUCAGCGAGGAGGAAAGGUUGAUGCCUAAUACGCAUCAACUGUGACGUUACUCGCAGAAGAAGCACCGGCUAACUCCGUGCCAGCCGCCGCAGUAA
rnacentral:rRNA from 1 species